GGGCGGUUAGCUCAGUUGGCUAGAGCACAUCGUUGACGUCGAUGGGGUCAGUGGUUCGAAUCCACUACCGCCCA
rnacentral:tRNA from 1 species